GAAAUGCGAUAAGUAAUGUGAAUUGCAGAAUUCCGUGAAUCAUCGAAUCUUUGAACGCACAUUGCGCCCUCUGGUAUUCCGGGGGGCAUGCCUGUCCGAGCGUCAUCGCGAACCCCUCAAGCACGGCUUGUGUGAUGGGCCCUCCCGCGUCUUGGUCGUCAAGACGGGUCCGAAAAGCAGUGGCGGCUUCGCGGUUAUCCGAUCAGCCAGAGCGUAUGGGGACUUUCUCUCUGUCACACGCCCGCGGCGCGGACCGACGCCUGUCGACCUUUAUUCAUCUUUUUCUCGGUUGACCUCGGAUCAGGUAGAGAUACUCGCUGAACUUAAGC
rnacentral:misc_RNA from 1 species